UACGUAGGGGGCAAGCGUUGUCCGGAAUCAUUGGGCGUAAAGAGCGUGUAGGCGGCCCGAUAAGUCCGCCGUGAAAGUCCAGGGCUCAACCCUGGAAUGCCGGUGGAAACUGUCGGGCUGGAGUCCGGAAGAGGCGAGUGGAAUUCCUGGUGUAGCGGUGAAAUGCGCAGAUAUCAGGAGGAACACUAAUGGCGAAGGCAGCUCGCUGGGACGGUACUGACGCUGAGACGCGAAAGCGUGUGGAGCAAACAGG
rnacentral:rRNA from 1 species